GCGCAGGUUUCCCUGGCAAUGGUUAGGCUCUUACAGGGAGGACUGUUCUGCGGAGCGCUCCGAACGGACAAACCACAAUAAAAAGUUCACGUUCAUGGAUGGAAUCCACAUGACUUCUUGUGGCCAAUCCAACUUGAAGAGAGCUACAUCCUUCCCAGUGGGGAGCCCAGGCAGCCCCCCACUCCACCCUAGACGGGAACAGGAGACACACGCCGCUGGAAACCUCCUAGCCAAGGCUGACCUGGCCGUGUUCUGACGAGCGGAGAGGGUUUAGACCCAUACUGGGCAGCCCUGCGGAGGCAGCAGGAGGGGUGAGAGUUGGGGGCGGCCUCCAGAACCCCCAAAGAGCCCGUCAUCCUCAGGCUCCUUUCUCAGAGAAAAUGACAUUUUUCCUUCUCCAAGACUAUCCCUGGUGUCAAGUCUCCUCAAUUCCUAGGUUCAGAGGGCAGCUUAUUCCCAAUCUUUUUAGAAUUGAAAAUAAAAUGAAGGUCCAAGAUCUUGGUUCCCGCUUUUUUUUUUCCCUUGAGUGUAAGGCAGUUUGAAGCCUUUUCUGCCUUGUCAAGUGACCCACACCCACCUGCCUUUUUUCAGAAAAAUUCUGGUGUCCCAGCAGCUGGGAUACACCUUGGA